CGAAAUAGCUCAGCUGGUAGAGCAACGCAUUCGUAAUGCGUAGGUCGCCGGUUCAAGUCCGGCUUUCGG
rnacentral:tRNA from 5 species